GGAAGAGCUCAAAUUUGUAAUCUGGCGUCCUUCGGGCGUCCGAGUUGUAAUCUAUAGAAGUGUUUUCCGUGCCGGACCAUGUCCAAGUCCCUUGGAACAGGGUAUCAAAGAGGGUGACAAUCCCGUACUUGACAUGACCACCGGUGCUCUGUGAUACACUUUCUACGAGUCGAGUUGUUUGGGAAUGCAGCUCAAAAUGGGUGGUAAAUUCCAUCUAAAGCUAAAUAUUGGCGAGAGACCGAUAGCGAACAAGUACCGUGAGGGAAAGAUGAAAAGCACUUUGGAAAGAGAGUUAAACAGUACGUGAAAUUGUUGAAAGGGAAACGAUUGAAGUCAGUCGUGUUCUUUGGACUCAGCCGGUUCUUCCGGUCUAUUUCCUUUGAACGGGUCAACAUCAGUUUUGUCCGGUGGAU
rnacentral:rRNA from 1 species